UCACUGGGUUUAAAGGGUGCGUAGGCGGGCCUAUAAGUCAGCGGUGAAAGCCCCCAGCUUAACUGGAGAAUUGCCGUUGAUACUGUUGUUCUUGAGUACGUUUGAGGUGGGCGGAAUGUGCCGUGUAGCGGUGAAAUGCUUAGAUAUGGCACAGAACACCGAUAGUGAAGGCAGCUCACUAAGCCGUAACUGACGCUGAGGCACGAAAGCGUGGGGAUCAAACAGGAUUAGAUACCCUGGUAGUCCACGCCGUAAACGAUGAUCACUCGUGGUGGGCGAUACACUGUCGGUGUCUUAGCGAAAGCGUUAAGUAAUCCACCUGGGGAGUACGAUCGCAAGAUUAAACUCAAAGGAAUUGACGGGGGCCCGCACAAGCGGGGAGCAUGUGGUUUAAUUCGAUGCUACGCGAGGAACCUUA
rnacentral:rRNA from 1 species